AGAGUUUGAUCCUGGCUCAGGAUGAACGCUGGCGGCGUGCUUAACACAUGCAAGUCGAACGAAGCGAUAGAGAACGGAGAUUUCGGUCGAAGUUUUCUAUUGACUGAGUGGCGGACGGGUGAGUAACGCGUGGGUAACCUGCCCUAUACAGGGGGAUAACAGUUAGAAAUGACUGCUAAUACCGCAUAAGCGCACAGCUUCGCAUGAAGUGGUGUGAAAAACUGAGGUGGUAUAGGAUGGACCCGCGUUGGAUUAGCUAGUUGGUGAGGUAACGGCCCACCAAGGCGACGAUCCAUAGCCGGCCUGAGAGGGUGAACGGCCACAUUGGGACUGAGACACGGCCCAAACUCCUACGGGAGGCAGCAGUGGGGAAUAUUGCACAAUGGGGGAAACCCUGAUGCAGCGACGCCGCGUGAAGGAAGAAGUGUCUCGGUAUGUAAACUUCUAUCAGCAGGGAAGAAAGUGACGGUACCUGACUAAGAAGCCCCGGCUAAUUACGUGCCAGCAGCCGCGGUAAUACGUAAGGGGCAAGCGUUAUCCGGAUUUACUGGGUGUAAAGGGAGCGUAGACGGUUUGGCAAGUCUGAUGUGAAAGGCAUGGGCUCAACCUGUGACUGCAUUGGAAACUGUCAGACUUGAGUGCCGGAGAGGCAAGCGGAAUUCCUAGUGUAGCGGUGAAAUGCGUAGAUAUUAGGAGGAACACCAGUGGCGAAGGCGGCCUGCUGGACGGUAACUGACGUUGAGGCUCGAAAGCGUGGGGAGCAAACAGGAUUAGAUACCCUGGUAGUCCACGCUGUAAACGAUGA
rnacentral:rRNA from 1 species